ACAACACCGGCGGUUGUUGGUGAUUUACCACCGCGGUAGUAAAAAUUUGCCACCGUCACAGCCCUAUGCACAACCAUCUCUAGGGUUUACAGAGAAUGGACCGAAAAAGAGAAAAUAUCCAGUGAGCGGCAGGUCUGUGGGUGAAAAUGCCUUGUUGACGCCAGACUGGUUUGAGCUGAUAGAAAGGCAACAGUAACUCAAAUAGCCACUUUUACAACCAAGGCCUACAGAAGAGCAUAGCUGAAUGCACAACAUGUCGAACCUUGAAGCAGAUGGCCUACAGCAGCAGAAGACCACACUGGUUGACACUCCUGUCAGAUAAGAACAGGAAACUGAGGCUACAAUUCGCAUGGGCUCACCAAUAUUGGACAAUAGAUGUUUGGAAAAAUGUUGCCUCGUCUGACGAUUCUUGAUUUCUGCUGCGACAUUCAGAAAGUAGACUCAGAAUUUAGCAUAAAAGACAUGAAAGCAUGGAUCUAUACUGCCUUGUAUCUAUGGUUCAGGCUGGACCCCUUAGUACCAACUGAGCAGUGUUUAAAUGCCAUUUGUCCAUCUCUAUAUGAGUGUACAAUGUAGCCAUCUUCUGAUGGCUACUUCCAGCAGGAUAACGCGCCAUGUCACAAAACUCAAAUCAUCUCAAACUGGUUACUUGAUCGUGACAAUGAGUUCACUAAACUCAAAUGGCCUCCACAGUCACCAGAUCCCAAUCCAAUAGAGCACCUUUGGGAUGUGGUGGAAUGGGAGAUUUGCAUCAUGGAUGUGCAGCCAACAAAUCUGCAGCAUCUGUAUGAUGCUAUAGUGUCAAUAUGGACCAAAAUUUCUGAGAAAUGUUUCCAGCACCUUGUUGAAUAUAUGAUGAAUUAAAGCCGUCCUGAAGGCAAAAGGGGGUCCAACACGGUACUAGCAAGGUGUACCCAAUAAAGUGGCCGGUGAGUGUAAUUUGUGCACUAUAUUUCAACUCUUCUGAAGCAAUAUGAUAGCUUUGUGUGAGGAACAGACUGACUUAAAUCAUUAUUCACUGUAAAUCUUUUCUGAAAGCUUUUAUUGUCUCACUUUUAUUGUAUAGAAAACAGCAGCUUAGACAUUCUUCUAUAAACAACACCUUUUGUGUUCCACAGAAGAAAGAAAACCAUACAGUUUCAAACAUGUGGGUGAGAAAUGAUGAUAGAAUUUCAAUUUUUAGGUGAACUGGAAGACUCAAAUGUUCAGUAGAAACUCACAAAUGUGCGGCUGGGGCUUCCUGAACGAGAGCGAACAGGACUGGAACUACGACUCCUGCUUCUCCACUAGAGAAAAACAUUAUGAGUACGUCAUGACUAGUAUGAAUGCUAUUUUGCUUGAUUUUCUCCAAAUGGCCUCCACAUACCAGAGCUCCUCUCCUAGUGACCGCCUCUCCUUUCAGUAUGACAGUGUCUCCCUCCAACAGUGCAGGCCACACGUGAUACGCCACCAGUGGAGCGGUGAACUCUGAGUCAAAACUGCGCCUGUACCUGAGAGGAAGAGAAAGUGUGACGGCAAUGAAAAGGAUCCUCUGGACUGUUUCCAGGUCGUCAAUGUAUCUGCGCAGGAGACUUUGGGAGUCCAGUCUCUCUGUGGCAUACAGGUCUGAGAAACGCGAGACCAGCCGUGCAUGCCGAGAGGAACUAGU